UACGAAGGGGGCUAGCGUUGUUCGGAAUUACUGGGCGUAAAGCGUGCGCAGGCGGCUUCUCAAGUCAGGGGUGAAAGCCCAGAGCUCAACUCUGGAAUUGCCUUUGAGACUGAGUGGCUUGAGUACGGGAGAGGUGAGUGGAACUCCCAGUGUAGAGGUGAAAUUCGUAGAUAUUGGGAAGAACACCGGUGGCGAAGGCGGCUCACUGGCCCGUAACUGACGCUCAUGCACGACAGCGUGGGGAUCAAACAGG
rnacentral:rRNA from 1 species